rnacentral:rRNA from 1 species
UGUACACACCGCCCGUCGUUACUACCGAUUGAAUGACUUAGUGAAGCCUUUGGACGUGCGAUUGAUGAGGGCGACCUCUGCCGUUGUACGAAAAUUGGAUGAACUUGGCCAUUUAGAGGAAGUACAAGUCGUAACAAGGUUUCCGUAGGUGAACCUUCGGAAGGAUCAUUA